rnacentral:rRNA from 1 species
GGAGGCAGCAGUGAGGAAUAUUGGUCAAUGGGCGCUAGCCUGAACCAGCCAAGUAGCGUGAAGGAUGACUGCCCUAUGGGUUGUAAACUUCUUUUAUAUGGGAAUAAAGUGCAGUAUGUAUACUGCUUUGCAUGUACCUUAUGAAUAAGGAUCGGCUAACUCCGUGCCAGCAGCCGCGGUAAUACGGAGGAUCCGAGCGUUAUCCGGAUUUAUUGGGUUUAAAGGGAGCGUAGGCGGGUUGUUAAGUCAGUUGUGAAAGUUUGCGGCUCAACCGUAAAAUUGCAGUUGAUACUGGCAUCCUUGAGUACAGUAGAGGUAGGCGGAAUUCGUGGUGUAGCGGUGAAAUGCUUAGAUAUCACGAAGAACUCCGAUUGCGAAGGCAGCCUGCUGGACUGUAACUGACGCUGAUGCUCGAAAGUGUGGGUAUCAAACAGGAUUAGAUACCCUGGUAGUCCACA